CAUCUUAUGAGAGAGAAGGGUGGUUGUUGAACCUCUCAUUCAAAAUCAAACUGCAACUUCCUUUUAAGCUCUCGGUCAUCCCUGUAUAUCUCUCUCCGGCCUCCCUUCCUCUCCGCCGUCGCCGCCACCCCACAGCUACCCCUCCACCGACACAUCUGUCACAAAGAUCUGAAAUCCUUGUUCACCACUGGAAAUCCUUGUUCACCACCGGAAAUCUGGUGGUGGUGGUAGGCAGAGAUCGGCGAUGGUGGGGGUGUGGGGUAGAGGUAGGCGUCGGUGUUGGUGGUGGCGUUAGGGUUGGUGGCGGUGGGGGUUUUUUGGUGGUGUGUGGCAGAGGGGGGUGACCGGUGGUUUAUGUGGAGUCGGUAUCAAGAGACGGUGGUGGCGCAGGUGGUGUGUUCAGAAGCUGGUGGUGGGGCAAGUGGUUGAUGGGGAGACGGUGUCGGUGGUCAUCGGUUCAAGGGUGUUCAUUGUUCUGAGGUGCUUGAUGAUGAGUAAAGAAGUUUGGGAAUUGUGGGUUUGUUAUUAUGGUUUUUUUGGGUGUUGAAGAUGUGGUUUAGUGCUUGUUUAGUGCUUGUCUUUUUCUGGGUUUGAAUAUGGGUUUGAAUACUUGGGGUUUUGACUUUUCUUGAUGCUUGUUUAUUGCUUGUCCUUUCUGGGGUUUGAAGAUGGUGCUUUUUUGGUAGUUUUUCAAAGAGUGAACUAUGUGGGUUUUGAUCCGUUUGGAUUGGGGCGGUGAUGAUGCAAAAAAAAAAAAAAAAAAAA